CAAAAAUGCACUUGUACCCCCUAAAUCUGUUUUUUUAAAAAGGUCUUGCAGUGUGACUUGGUGGAUGCCAAGAAGGAGUUCUGGGAACUGGCCUUUCCUACAACAGAGAGAAUGCCUCCGAGACGCUGAUCAGCCAAAUGCUCUGACCACGGCCAUGUGCAUUAAGUAUACACCCACGAGAGCCUAAGCAUAUACUUAAUUGCACCAAAAUGUCCAUGAAGCCUACCCAACUGAUUUUCAGUUCCCAUUCAUUAUUUAUGAGACAGGUGAUAAGUUACACUGAAACGAUGCCAAUGAUAGUUGGCAUAUAACUAUGAUAAGACCUUUGGUGGUAUACGUUCCUCUUGUGUGAUUUCAAUUUCUUAAAAUAUGCUGUGAUUUUUUUCUGUCCCCAUUGAUUUACAGAUAAAAAUCUUUGUUUUCCACUUCUUUUUUCUCUGUGACUGCCCUCCAUUACACUUCAUCAUUAUUCUAUUUUCUUUCUUGAGCUCUAAUGGAAAAGACGGGAGUACCAUGACAGAAGGAAAAUAUAAAAACUCCAGUACCUACAUAGAAGUGCAACCUUGGAUGCUCUUCUAGGAAGACAAGACCCCAUCUAGACACCUUUAGUGUGACCUUGGAGACCACAUUUGAACAUGGUGAAGCCAAAGGAUGGAAUGGUCCUCAAAUCACUCAGAGAAAAGACGCCUGACCAGGAAGACCCCAAGUGGACUCUUACACAAGCGAAAUAUAAGAUAAUGCUGUUUUAAUCCACUGGGAUUUUAGAGUUUGUAAG
rnacentral:lncRNA from 1 species